UACGGGGGGGGGCAAGCGUUGUUCGGAAUUACUGGGCGUAAAGGGCGCGUAGGCGGUUCGUUGCGUCAGAUGUGAAAGCCCCGGGCUCAACCUGGGAACUGCAUUUGAUACGGGCGAGCUUGAAUCCAAGAGAGGGUGGUGGAAUUCCCAGUGUAGAGGUGAAAUUCGUAGAUAUUGGGAAGAACACCAGUGGCGAAGGCGGCCACCUGGCUUGGUAUUGACGCUGAGGCGCGAAAAGCGUGGGGAGCAAACAGG
rnacentral:rRNA from 1 species